AACGGGUGUUUUUCUUUUUCACCCCCCCCCCCCCCUUUUUUUUGGGGGGGGGGGGGUUGGUUUCAUGUAAAUUAAAGUUGACGAAAGGAUGUCAACACAGCCCUCCCCCGCCGAAAACAAACCCUCACAGCGGAUACGUCCAGUAAGCAGCCAUCUGGGGCAAGGCAGCGCGUUUGCAGGCGAAAUCGCGCCGGGACAGUGGACUUGCACCAUUACACACAACAAACCUCAUUUGCAUAAUAUUGACUGUGGUCCAACUUCUUGACACACCGGAACACCUCAAGCGGGCGCGCCUGACCAGUGGACAUACAGGAUGUUGGGCGUCGGGUUCAUUACCCUGGCUGCCAUGACAACAUCUUCUGACUAGCCAGUGACAACUAUAGUGACGUAAAUCCUAUCACUGUUUAACCAAGGAAAGACAUAUAGUACUCUGAAUUCUUGAACUUGAAUGAUGAAGGACUGUGUACUAUGCAUUUGUCCAUAAAACAUGCAGUUUCAACUUCCAAGUGUUACAAUGGCUCUGCUCUCCUCUACAGGCUCACAACCCCAUGUGUGUUUUGUUUUCCUGAAUCAGAUCCAGGCUCAUUCAGUGUUUCAGCAUCAUCCCAAUGAAGGCAUAUUGUGUUUAUUAUGUACAUAUAUAUGAGAGCAAACCCCCAAUGAAUGCAACCAACUGUUACUGGGAGACAUUUUUUAGAGAGUAUGUAUGCAUCUUCCUGUAUAAUAUAUGCAUUUUCUGUAUAUAUGUAUCAAUGACAACCCUGGUCCAGAGCUCAGCAAUAUUACACCUGCUGUAUGUGGCCUUAGAUCUACAGGUUAGUCUUCAACUUAAGUCAGUCCCUCCAGGAUUAACUACGGACUAAUCUGGAAACAGGACACUCAUGAAUUACUAACUCAACCUCCCCCCAUUAAAGCCAGUCCACUGCAGGACUGUUCCUUUACACUACUGCUUGUCCAGUGAACCUCAUCCGAUACACUGCCACUACUCAAUCACCUGGCCAACAGGACCUCAUGUUGGUAGAGGAUUCUAAUGGGAAACCUUUCCCCAGAAUAGACAUUGACUACAGUAGAGCCUCUCCAACACAACCUCUAACUGGCCACAUUCCAUUUCUGUCCUGAGCUGUUUUCUCUCAGGUGUUAAGAAAUCAACGCUAAAGCAGUAGGAGCUGGAGGAAGAAGCAAGGACAGAAAAGGAAUUGGACUGGAUCUUCUGACUGUACAACUGUUCUGCUGUGGUUGUCUCCAAUAGCAGCCUGCACUCUUUAAGCCUUGAAUCAGACUUCAGAUAAGUACAUAGAACAUAUGAUAUUAUGAAUAAGAUGGACUUAAAGGGGAACAAACAUCACAUGAUUAUCAAUCUGAAAUCUCUUUCCACCUCUAACCCUUGAAUAGCCCAGCCUGCAAACUGAUCAUUUGUUUAGGAGAAACUAUGUUUUCUGACCUAAUAGAAGAUUGAGCAGGACAUCACCCCUUCUCCCUAAAUGACCUGCUGCACAUCUGAACCUCCUAGAGAUUCUGAUUGGUGGUGAUGUCUGAUGCAGUGUGAGGUCACUUUAAGAACAGUGUUUUGAUUGGUGGUGAUGUCUGAUGCAGUGUGAGGUCACUUUAAGAACAGUGUUUUGAUUGGUGGUGAUGUCUGACACAGGUCACUUUUGUGUUAAUGUUGCAGGUUCAAUAAUCAAAUAGGGUGAUAAUGAGGCUGUGGUUCACCUUUAAGUCUAUAAAACAUUUAGUUGGAUUUUGUUUUACUGAACUCUGAACUCAUCUCAAGUCUUUGGUGCACAGAGAACAGGGAGCGAUUGUGGACCCACACGGCUGAUCUGUGACGAGCUCUGUUUUGUGCCUCUUCCAGGAGCCUUGAGUUACCUGUUAUUAUUAUCAUGAUCAUUAACAACUGUCAUCAAUCAUUUGCUUUUGUUGACUUUGUGUGUGUGUGUGUGUGUGUGUGUGUGUGUGUGUGUGUGUGUGUGUGUGUGUGUGUGUGUGUGUGCGCGCACGUGCAUAUUAAGACUUAAAAAUCUAAGCACAAGUUUGGGUUUUGAUUAAUUUAAUUGGUCCAUGUAAUUCUAUGCUGAAAUCCAAAGAAUAAUCAUGUAUUAUAAUGCAUUUAUAAUUUUAUUUUUUAUCGUCUGGACAAUAACCUCCCUGUAAAGGAAAUAAUUAAAAA
ensembl:lncRNA